rnacentral:rRNA from 1 species
UACGAAGGGUGCAAGCGUUACUCGGAAUUACUGGGCGUAAAGCGUGCGUAGGCGGUUUGUUAAGUCUGUCGUGAAAGCCCCGGGCUCAACCUGGGAAUGGCGAUGGAAACUGGCGAGCUAGAGUACGGUAGAGGAGAGUGGAAUUCCCGGUGUAGCAGUGAAAUGCGUAGAUAUCAGGAGGAACACCGAUGGCGAAGGCAGGUCUCUGGGCUGACACUGACGCUCAUGCACGAAAGCGUGGGGAGCAAACAGG